AAGCUCAAAUUUGAAAUCUGGCACUUUCAGUGUCCGAGUUGUAAUUUGAAGAAGGUAUCUUUGGGUCUGGCUCUUGUCUAUGUUUCUUGGAACAGAACGUCACAGAGGGUGAGAAUCCCGUGCGAUGAGAUGACCCAGACCUAUGUAAAGUUCCUUCGAAGAGUCGAGUUGUUUGGGAAUGCAGCUCUAAGUGGGUGGUAAAUUCCAUCUAAAGCUAAAUAUUGGCGAGAGACCGAUAGCGAACAAGUACAGUGAUGGAAAGAUGAAAAGAACUUUGAAAAGAGAGUGAAAAAGUACGUGAAAUUGUUGAAAGGGAAGGGCUUGAGAUCAGACUUGGUAUUUUGUAUGUUACUCUCUCGGGGGUGGCCUCUACAGUUUACCGGGCCAGCAUCAGUUUGGGCGGUAGGACAAUUGCAAAGAAAUGUGGCACUGCCUCGGUAGUGUGUUAUAGUCUUUGUCGAUACUGCCAGCCUAGACUGAGGACUGCGGCUUCGGCCUAGGAUGUUGGCAUAAUGAUCUUAAGUCGCCCGUCUUGA
rnacentral:rRNA from 1 species